UGAGUACUCCCUCCGUCCGAAAAAGCUUGUCCCUCAAAUGAAUGUAUUUAGCACCAAGUUAGUGCUAGAUACAUCCAUUUGAGGGACAAGCUUUUUCGGACGGAGGUAGUACUUG
rnacentral:pre_miRNA from 1 species